rnacentral:lncRNA from 7 species
AGGGAAGGGGAGAAAGAAUCAACAGUUUAAGGCUUCACCUGACCUUGAAUGCAGUCCCAGAGGGGUAGGGAAAACUCCUACAGAGAGCACAUAGCACCCAGCAUAAAGCAUCUCUGCCUCCUUGAGUACCUGAACACAGAAUGAGCUUUUACAAGGAGCUGAUGGGGCUGUUAGUGCUCCCCACGGGGAGAAACCAGAUGGCUGCGUCUUCAAUGAAGGAUCUCUUCUAAGAAUUAGUUACCUGCAUGUCAUCUUGUUCCCACCCAGGACUGAUUGAUGGGGUUGCCUGUUUGCUGCAGCUGCUUGAACACCUGGAUACAAUCUUCAAAACCAUCUCAGGCAAACCCAGAGCCAGGGGGGCUUGCCCCUUGUAACUCUGCAAUGUGCAGGGCCUUAAAUUGUUACUGCGGCCUCAUGGCAGUGGCACACAGUCCUGUUCCUUCCUCUCUGUCUGGGGAAAUACAGUAGACCUGAUGGCAGUUGUGGUUAAGGCAUGCAUGUCUUCAUGUAAGCCCACACUACUGCUUCAGCCUCUGCCAGGAAGCCACAGGCAGCAUCUCAUGGCUACAAUACAGUGGGUUUCUAACAACACUAGACAGAAUGUUUGGUGCCUUGCUGAUUUCCAACAAAUGACCUUUAAAUCCUGUUCCUAUGCAUGCGUAUUAGGUUUAUAUUUCAGCUGGCACAGCAUGCAGCUGUGGGUAAGCACAUUGCACCUCCAGCUGUGCUGUGAGGGCUCCUUCUCUUUGGUAAGUGUUAUCAGUGGGUUUAUGCACUCCACUAUGGCAAACAUUAACAGUAAUGGGUGUUUGGAAUCCCAAAUGGAUUGAAGGACCAUGACUGCAUGAAUGGUGAAAUCCCAGCCACGCCUGACCUUGUGUGGGAUAUGCUGUUCCAGCUGGAUGCAAUAAGUCUAUGGGUUAACCCUAACUUCAUCCUUACUUCCUUCCUUGCCUUCCCAUUCAGAAGCACUUGUACACAUCGUUUAGAUGAGGAGAGCAUCCUUCGGCUCUCCUAAAUCUUCCCAUCAGCUUCCUCAUCUGGCUCUAAGAAGGACUGUAAGGCUGUACCUGGCCCUAAUGCCCAGGGCUGCUCUGUAAACUGUCGAUUCUAAGAGGUACACCAAACUGUGCACAGGACAGUGAGCAUGUGCUUGUGUGGUGCUCUCAUUGAAGUCCCCCUUUCAUUAAUCUCAUCAAAACUGUUUUAUUCCCCAUAAACACUGUUCUUUAGGGAUCGUUUUCCGAAAAGAAUAUAAAAGAUGUAGAAAUCAAAUAAAUCUGGGUAUUGAUUAAUCAACUAGUACUCCUGAAACAGCAUUUGGUAGCUGCCUGCUAAUAUGUUAGCAUCAAAGGUCAAUUUUAAAGACAUCGUCAUCACCUUAGAAUUUGAAGGUCACACAGUGACAUCGUAUUCAGCAAUGUUUUUAUAGAUCUUAUUGCUUCUGCUUGAAUUAGGCCAUAUACUUUUGCAAUAGGAUCUCUUACGUGAGGCAAGACAAUGGAAGUUUUCUUCUUU